CAGCACCGCGGGAAUACGUAGGGGGCGAGCGUUGUCCGAAGUUACUGGGCGUAAAGAGCGCGUAGGCUGGUCUUUAAGUGAGUGGUGAAAGGUUCGGGCUCAACCCGGACACUGCCUUUCAUACUGGGGACCUUGAGUGUGGGAGAGGCGAGUGGAAUGGUCGGUGUAGCGGUGAAAUGCGUAGAUAUCGAUCGGAACACCCAUGGCGAAGGCAGCUCGCUGGCCUAACACUGACGCUGAGGCGCGAAAGCGUGGGGAGCAAACAGGAUUAGAUACCCGCGUAGUCCCUGUCUCUUAUACA
rnacentral:rRNA from 1 species